GUCUAUAAAUGAUAUAUUAUACCGAAAAAGGUAUUCUAUACCGAAAAAGGUAUUUAUUUCCUCGUCAGACUCUGUCAUUUUUGCCUUUCAAGCAAACAACAUUGUUCCCGCCAUUUUUUAGCCUUGCGUGUGGUCUCGCGUGAUGUUCGCGAAUCAUAUUCACCGGUGAAUUUGACUCAUAUUCACCGGUGAAUAUGACUGAAAUUUCCUGCUGCACCAAAUACGAAUGACGUAAGCGCGAUACGAUGAUAAAUUUCACGAUCACAUGGCACAAAUCUAGCUUUCUCAUUGGACAAUUUUAAUUUGAGGUAUAAUAUUCCCCGAUAAUCACCUAGCCUGAGGCGAAUAAUUGUUUUAUUAUUUUUGCACAAGUUUUUUUGUUUUUUUCUGGUCUGAAUUUAUUUUAAUUUCGCU